rnacentral:rRNA from 1 species
UACGGAGGGUGCAAGCGUUAUCCGGAUUUACUGGGUUUAAAGGGUGCGCAGGCGGAUAUGUAAGUCAGUGGUGAAAUCUCUGGGCUUAACCCGGAAAUUGCCAUUGAUACUAUAUAUCUUGAAUGCUGUGGAGGUAAGCGGAAUAUGUCAUGUAGCGGUGAAAUGCUUAGAUAUGACAUAGAACACCUAUUGCGAAGGCAGCUUACUACGCAGAUAUUGACGCUCAUGCACGAAGCGUGGGGAUCAAACAGG